UACGUAGGGGGUAAGCGUUAUCCGGAUUUACUGGGUGUAAAGGGAGCGCAGACGGCAGUGCAAGUCUGGAGUGAAAGCCCGGGGCCCAACCCCGGGACUGCUCUGGGAACUGUACGGCUAGAGUACGGGAGGGGCAGGCGGAAUUCCUAGUGUAGCGGUGAAAUGCGUAGAUAUUAGGAGGAACACCGGCGGCGAAGGCGGCCUGCUGGACCGAAACUGACGUUGAGGCUCGAAAGCGUGGGGAGCAAACAGG
rnacentral:rRNA from 1 species